UACAGAGGGUGCGAGCGUUAAUCGGAAUUACUGGGCGUAAAGCGCCCGUAGGCGGCCUGACAAGUUGGACGUGAAAGCUCCUGGCUUAACUGGGAGAGGCCGUUCAAAACUGUCAAGCUAGAGUCUGGAAGAGGAGAGCGGAAUUCCCGGUGUAGUGGUGGAAUGCGUAGAGAUCGGGAGGAACACCAGUGGCGAAAGCGGCUCUCUGGUCCAAAACUGACGCUGAGGGGCGAAAGCGUGGGGAGCGAACGGG
rnacentral:rRNA from 1 species